ACAAAAUUAGGGGGGCCUAAUCAAUUUGACAGUGAUUAGUUGUGUAAACAAACACAAAAUUAAUGGUGUUCAAGAUGGCGGUUCAAUUAUUUGCCCAAAAUAGCCACUCUAAAUUUCAAGGAUUUCAUCGCAAUCGGCAUUCAAUUAAAGUUGGGGGGCCAUUAAAUCAUUGUUAAACGUUCAUUGUCAUAAUUAUUUAUUGUUUACACGAACUAUUUUAUGAAUAAUUUAAUAAACUUUAAUGAAAUCACGUGACUCCAGCGAAGUCUAUGAUUGGUCAGUGGAUAGCGCGGACAUUACAGAGACGAUUUGAAAAUUUGCCGAGAUGAAAAUCUCAAAAAGAAAUCAGAGAAUUAUUGGUCGCAAAAAUGUUGUCCCAGGGCUGUAGUCAUUCUAAACUUGAGAGAAAUGCAUAAAGGCUAUAACUCUGUCAAAUUGAAGGAAAUGGCAUGAAAGAGGAAAGAAGAAAUUGCAUUGUACAUUCAAAUGGAGGAUCUGUUUUUUUAUGGAGUCCAGAUGAAAAUCACAACUGUACAGCAAUCAGGAUUUACCCUGGUAAAAGGUGUAUUACAAAGCAGAAAAUUCUGUGAUGGGUUGGAACUCUAUGAAAAUAAUGAAGAUAACAUGAAUUUCAAGUGAACAAUGUG